ACAAACUUGGUCAUUUAGAGGAAGUAAAAGUCGUAACAAGGUCUCCGUAGGUGAACCUGCGGAGGGAUCAUUACUGAACGGCCCCAUGGGCCUUCAACCCCAUCAAACCUGUGGACCUCAAUCCGUGCUUCGGCGCCGUGGAAGCGGCGUCGCCUUUAUGCAUAAAGCUGGAUCUAGUCUGAUUCAAUCAAGAAGAUUUAAAACUUUCAACAAAGGAUCUCUUGGCUCUCGCAUCGAUGAAAAACUUGGUCAUUUAGAGGAAGUAAAAGUCGUAACAAGGUCUCCGUAGGUGAACCUGCGGAGGGAUCAUUACUGAACGGCCCCAUGGGCCUUCAACCCCAUCAAACCUGUGGACCUCAAUCCGUGCUUCGGCGCCGUGGAAGCGGCGUCGCCUUUAUGCAUAAAGCUGGAUCUAGUCUGAUUCAAUCAAGAAGAUUUAAAACUUUCAACAAAGGAUCUCUUGGCUCUCGCAUCGAUGAAGAACGCAGC
rnacentral:misc_RNA from 1 species